GGAUGGAUGAUUUGCCGACGCAGCCCAAAAGUCGGUCAGCGAACCUCCUUCCAGGACUCCGCCAAUGAUGAUAAUUAAUAACAAUUUCAAGAGGCCACAUGAGCGCUUGCGCCUCCAUGUUGGAUUCCAGCCAACGCGCAUGAACGAAAAGCAGAAAAAGUCGGCGGACGCAGGUGAGGGACGGACGGGGGGGGGGUGGUGAUUCUACUCAUCCAAGCCAAAAACGGACACUGAUAUGAUUUUGAGAUUCAAUCAUCAAAUAUCUGUGAAUGUAGCAACAACCUGCAACCCUAAAACGGACGCACGGAUGAAUUUCUGUUAAAGGUCUGCUCAGGUCAAGUGAUGAGAAGUUACAGAUGUGUAAUUACCCUUUUUUGUUGGCGGGAACGGAUUUGGAAGCACUCGGUUUCAUUUUUUUUACACUUGUGACGAUUAACUCUUUUCAUGCGGUAGUUACAGCGGCGGAGUUUUGAGCAGAUGUUGAAGAAUUCUUCAAAAAGAAGCUUCAAACGGGUGAAAAUGAGCAAAACGAAAAGAAUUACGCCUUGCAUAUUUCGCCACAGAAACGAGGCAAAAUACCAUAGACGGGCUAACACCGAUUUUGCGGUACUGUAACCCUACGAGCAUCAGAUAGCUGAACAAAAAUGGUGCAACAACUCAUGGAAACAGAAAAUCCAACAAUAGUCAUGGGCAUAUAGGGCAAAGGGAACGACGUCUUCCAUCUUUGCGUGUGUUUCCUCCUUCCUGAAGUUUUAAACGUAGAUGACAUCGUGGAAGUUAGCCAGGCUCUAUGAAAACGUUCCACGUGACACGCGGGGAGCGCCGGGUAGGCUUUCUAAAACAAAACGAAAAAAAAAACUUCAGAAGCAAACGCCGCAGGGGGUCAGCGAGACCUUGAAGAAAGAAAAGCCCCGUUUGGCAGGGUCGCCACGGAGGAAAAAAACAAAAAUAAAAGGAGAAAAAAAGCCUUUAGUCACAAGGCGGCUGUCGUUCCCAUCAUCGUCAUCGUCGGCCGCGUAACGCCGCUACACAUUUCUCGCGAGGAAAAAUAAAAGUGGGGGUCGCCCAGUCAAAUGAUGGACCCCAGCCAUGUCCAAUUCCCGGUGGGCUUGCGUGCCGUGACAUCUUUGGAUGGAAAAAGCUAAUUAUGGAAAACAAAUUGGCGAGCGCCACGCGCGUCACUCAUGGAAGAAAAGCAAAAAAGGAAAUUAAAGCUGACUUCCUUUAUCCUUUUUUUUUUUAGGAAAAGAAAGAAAACCCACGCGGGAUUCUUAUCAUCAAGAAGGAAAAUAAAGAUCGCGCUAUUCGUACGAAGUAAUUACAUACAAAAGAAAAAGGUCUCCGGAUAAAAAGGCACAAAUGUUCACAUUGAGUGCGAUUGUGUACCACUGCAGCCAUAAAAAAGUACCGCUGAAGCUCCUCCACUCACUUCGACAUGGUGCCCUGUCAAAAAACAUGGCGGCAAAACAUUACUUUUGUCUAAGGGACGAUUCUCAAUGCAUUAAAAGAGAAUUCCUUCGGACUGAGCGAAAUGUCACAAGAUGAUGUCAAAGCGCUACUUUUAUCCGAAUGAAGCCCCCAUAUUAGCUUGCCAACCGAGAUGCCACAAAGGUGAACUCGGAAACGGCAAAUGUGAACGAAGGUCGACUGAAAUUUGUUUCUCUUGUUCUUCUUUUUGUCAUAAAAAUGGAUUCUCCCCCCCCCCCCAAGAUUCUGGAAACGUCACUGGAGGAGAAGCAAGCGAGUGAACAGAUGUUCCGGGGUUUUAUCUCAUUGACCUCGUGUACUCCGAGAGGAAACUUUGGGGACACCCCCGAGCGCCCCCCCCCCCACCCCACCCCCUUUCCUCUCUUCCCGGUUCUAUUUCUGAGCAAUUAAAAGCGACGUGACACAUCCACUGUGACAGCUGCAGACGUUCGGGCCGGACCCGGUCUUCAGAGUCAAGCCCGGUUCAAGCCGUCACCUGUGGAAAAAAAAACCUCACGCUCGGCAUGAGGCGCAGAUGUCGCCCACCGUCCCUCCCCAGGGGCUCGGGGGGGGGGGGGGGAUUUCGCGGAACACCCAUCAGGAGCUAAUUGGAAUUAGCUCGCCUCGGCGCUCAGCUCGCUGGUGGACACGUCGGAGCCGCCGUCUUUGGAAGUGUGAGCGUCGCGAGCGCGGGCGGCAGCUGCCGAGCAAACUUGACAUUUGGAAGGAACGAGCGUUCCCUCCAGCGCCAGCUGAUCCAUUUUCUCCGCGCAGACAAAUUUAGAGCCUCCUCUUUGGACAAAGGGCGGCGGGGUCACGCGCCGACAGCCGCCGUCGAGGGACUCGCUCUCGCUCGUCUGGACGGCGGGCCCAAAUGCGGGGACGAGGUGGACGAAUCGAUGCGUCGUCCUUCCACUCGUGUCACGUCCGUUUUGUUUACAGCCGUUAAUCAGGAGGCCAGCGGACGGUCGACCGACCGACUCGCUGCAGUUUCUCCUUCAACUUGAGGACCAGAUCCACCGUUUCCACCUCCGAGUGGUUCUGGACUCUUUGCAGCAGAUCCUGACAAGGACACCAAAGUUCUGAAACGGGCCGGACGGUAAAACGGCGCCAGCGGAAUCCUUCUGUCAAACUUCAAAGGGACGUCGUCCAGACGCCGGCUGGAAAUUUUUCGCCACAAUUCCCGCAAAAAGGUUCCAGCGCCUCACCACAAAUGUACUGAAAGGUAUUUUGCUCAAUGACAAAGGGCAAAAUUCUCUCUCCGGGAAUUGCCGGACAUUUUAGCACAAGUUCCGCUCGGUAUCACGGUCGUUCUGCAGAUUUCGAUAAUCGCAUAUUUUUCCCCCCAUGUACGAUUUAUGCUAGUAUGCUCGCUAAUGCUAAUGACAAGAUGUUUUGUUUGCAUUGAAGAAGAGAACAACUGAGUUCAGGAUUGCGUACACGCUAGAAGCACGGCAUGGCUACUUUAAAAUCCUUCCAGUUUGAAGUACUCCCGCAAUCACAAACCUUAGCGCGGGCAGUCUCGGGUAUUUGCAGAUUUUUGUACCAGAUGUUGACUGGACCUACUUUCCAUAUGGGAACUGGCUGGCAGGUAUAAAAACAUAAGCCAAUAAAAACUAUGAUUGAUAUGA